GGCAGUCACGGGUAACGGAGAAUUAGGGUUCGAUUCCGGAGAGGGAGCCUGAGAAACGGCUACCACAUCUACGGAAGGCAGCAGGCGCGUAAAUUACCCAAUCCUGAUUCAGGGAGGUAGUGACAAGAAAUAACAAACUCGGGGGCCUCACGGCUUACGAGAUUGCAAUGAGAACAAUUUUAAAUCUCUUAGCGAGGAACAAUUGGAGGGCAAGUCUGGUGCCAGCAGCCGCGGUAAUUCCAGCUCCAAUAGCGUAUAUUAAAGUUGUUGCAGUUAAAAAGCUCGUAGUUGAAUUUCUGAUUAUGGAUGUAGCGGUUUCCGUUACAUUUGUAGUCAUCCACAUGAGAACCUUUCUCGGCCUUCACUGGUCGGUUGGGGGAUCAUGUACUUUACUUUGAAAAAAUCAGAGUGUUUCAGGCAGGCGUUUGCAUGAAUACACAAGCAUGGAAUAAUGGAAUAGGACUGGGGUCCAUUUUAUUGGUUAUUGGACCAUAGUAAUGAU
rnacentral:rRNA from 1 species